rnacentral:lncRNA from 1 species
GUGCAGGCUCGGUGAAAAGCGCACAAAGGUAACACUUUCUAAAGCCCACUGUAGUCUAAAAGGGGUUCAUACUUUUCUUCAAAAGGGAUCAGCUGUUUCUGCUCGGUUUCGAACCGAGGACCUUUCGCGUGUUAGGCGAACGUGAUGACCAUAGGCGAACGUGAUGACCACUACACUACAGAAACUCCUCGAUUCCUCUGUAGUGCUCAUUUGGGAAAUAUUUAUACCGUGAUGUGCCCAAAAGCAAAUAGACAAUCUGCGUAAAUCCCACACACAACAGGACAGAGUUAAUUCGGCAUGGCAGUCUGCGCAGAAUUUCCUGAAAAAUCUCCCCUUAACUUACCUUGGAAUUAAGGCCUUUUGCAGCGUGGACCACCUGCUUACCAGAUAGCCAAUUCAGCACAGAAAGAACAAAAGCCUUCAUCUGUCUCCGCCCAGUUUCGAACUGGGGACCUUUCGCGUGUAAGGCAAACGUGAUAACCUCUACACUACGGAAACCGGCAACCAAGGUUGUGUCUGACCUUUUCAACGCACGCCUCUUGGAACACGAAUCAAAUUACAGAUUGCCUUGUGCUGUUCAGUCUGCAAAUACCUUCUAUUUUUAGCGGCAAACCAAGCAUUUUUCCAGUUGUCUGCGGGAAACCUCUGUGGCCGUUUCUUUUGUGCUGUUUUUUCGUCUACUAUUAAUUUUUUUUUUAAGGUAGAUAACCUCUACACUACGGAAAACCGGCAACCAAGGUUGUGUCUGACCUUUUCAACGCACGCCUCUUGGAACACGAAUCAAAUUACAGAUUGCCUUGUGCUGUUCAGUCUGCAAAUACCUUCUAUUUUUAGCGGCAAACCAAGCAUUUUUCCAGUUGUCUGCGGGAAACCUCUGUGGCCGUUUCUUUUGUGCUGUUUUUUCGUCUCAUUAAUUUUUUUUUUUAAACGUUAUACGAAAUAUUGGGUCUUUGAGUUCACCAGCCAUCUGUUCAUUGAAACUACCUGGUUAAAAGUAUAGAGACUGUCGGCGUGGAAGUUACUGCUGCCUAGUGUGGCUUAAUAAUUGUCUUCACACCUGUGUAAAGAAAGGCCAUCGUGACGUAGAGCUGCUGCUCAACAGAAGGCCACUCAGACAAAUAUCUUUCGUGUUCCUCAGACGAAAGCCAGGCAGGAUUGAAAUGGCACGAGUGUGGUUUAGGUUUAGCUCUAGGUCAAACAAUGACUGCUCUUUCAUUUCUGCAUCAACUACAGCUUUAGUGGUGAAAAGAGAGUCACUGUCCCGCCAGUUUCGAACUGGGACCUUUCGCGUGUGAGGCGAACGUGAUAACCACUACACUACGGAAACCUGCCUGCUGAAACAGUCCGAAACCUUUAAGUGCAGGCUCGGUGAAAAGCGCACAAAGGUAACACUUUCUAAAGCCCACUGUAGUCUAAAAGGGGUUCAUACUUUUCUUCAAAAGGGAUCAGCUGUUUCUGCUCGGUUUCGAACCGAGGACCUUUCGCGUGUUAGGCGAACGUGAUGACCACUACACUACAGAAACUCCUCAAUUCCUCUGUAGUGCUCAUUUGGGAAAUAUUUAUACCGUGAUGUGCCCAAAAGCAAAUAGACAAUCUGCGUAAAUCCCACACACAACAGGACAGAGUUAAUUCGGCAUGGCAGUCUGCGCAGAAUUUCCUGAAAAAUCUCCCCUUAACUUACCUUGGAAUUAAGGCCUUUGCAGCGUGGACCACCUGCUUACCAGAUAGCCAAUUCAGCACAGAAAGAACAAAAGCCUUCAUCUGUCUCCGCCCAGUUUCGAACUUCAGCACAGAAAGAACAAAAGCCUUCAUCUGUCUCCGCCCAGUUUCGAACUGGGGACCUUUCGCGUGUAAGGCGAACGUGAUAACCUCUACACUACGGAAACCGGCAACCAAGGUUGUGUCUGACCUUUUCAACGCACGCCUCUUGGAACACGAAUCAAAUUACAGAUUGCCUUGUGCUGUUCAGUCUGCAAAUACCUUCUAUUUUUAGCGGCAAACCAAGCAUUUUUCCAGUUGUCUGCGGGAAACCUCUGUGGCCGUUUCUUUUGUGCUGUUUUUUCGUCUCAUUUAAUUUUUUUUUUUUUUCACGCCUCUUGGAACACGAAUCAAAUUACAGAUUGCCUUGUGCUGUUCAGUCUGCAAAUACCUUCUAUUUUUAGCGGCAAACCAAGCAUUUUUCCAGUUGUCUGCGGGAAACCUCUGUGGCCGUUUCUUUUGUGCUGUUUUUUCGUCUCAUUAAUUUUUUUUUUUAAACGUUAUACGAAAUAUUGGGUCUUUGAGUUCACCAGCCAUCUGUUCAUUGAAACUACCUGGUUAAAAGUAUAGAGACUGUCGGCGUGGAAGUUACUGCUGCCAAAGUCUUGGUAGCGUUGAGUUCCUCCUCAACAGAAAGCCAAUUGUACAAUUGUGAAAAAGAGAGUCACUGUUCCCGCCCAGUUUCGAACUGGGGACCUUUCGCGUGUGAGGCGAACGUGAUAACCACUACACUACGGAAACCUGCCUGCUGAAAACAGUCCGAAACCUUUAAGUGCAGGCUCGGUGAAAAGCGCACAAAGGUAACACUUUCUAAAGCCCACUGUAGUCUAAAAGGGGUUCAUACUUUUCUUCAAAAGGGAUCAGCUGUUUCUGCUCGGUUUCGAACCGAGGACCUUUCGCCCUAGCCUAGCUAGACAAACAGUCCGAAACUUUAAGUGCAGGCUCGGUGAAAAGUGACACAAAGGU